rnacentral:rRNA from 1 species
UCGAACGAUGAAGCCGCAGCUUGCUGUGGUGGAUUAGUGGCGAACGGGCGAGUAACACGUGAGUAACCUGUCCUUUUCUUUGGGAUAACGGCUGGAAACGGCUGCUAAUACUGGAUAUUCAGGCUGCAUCGCAUGGUGUGGUUUGGAAAGGUUUUUUCUGGGAUUGGGUGGGCUCGCGGCCUAUCAGCUUGUUGGUGGGGUGAUGGCUUACCAAGGCUUUGACGGGUAGCCGGCCUGAGAGGGUGGUCGGUCGCACUGGGACUGAGAUACGGCCCAGACUCCUACGGGAGGCAGCAGUGGGGAAUAUUGCACAAUGGACGAAAGUUUGAUGCAGCGACGCCGCGUGGAGGGUGUAGGCCUUCGGGUUGUGAACUCCUUUUUCUCGCGAAAAAGGCACAGUUUUGGCUGUGUUGAUGGUAGUGGGGGAAGAAGCGCCGGCUAACUACGUGCCAGCAGCCGCGGUAAUACGUAGGGCGCGAGCGUUGUCCGGAUUUAUUGGGCGUAAAGAGCUCGUAGGUGGUUCGUCGCGUCUGUCGUGAAAGCCAGCAGCUUAACUGUUGGUCUGCGGUGGGUACGGGCGGGCUUGAGUGCGGGUAGGGUUACUGGAAUUCCUGGUGUAGCGGUGGAAU